GACGAACGCUGGCGGCGUGCCUAACACAUGCAAGUCAACUUGACUGAAGGAGCAAUCUGACAGUAGAGUGGCGCAAGGGUGCGUAACGCGUAAGUAACUUGCCCAAGGUAAGGAAUAACGUCGAGAAAUCGGCGCUAAUACCUCAUAAUGCAGCGGAUCCGCAUGGAUAUGUUGUUAAAGGUUUACCGCCUUGGGAUAGGCUUGCGUCUGAUUAGCUAGUUGGUGUGGUAACGGCACACCAAGGCUACGAUCAGUAACUGGUCUGAGAGGAUGAUCAGUCACACUGGAACUGAGACACGGUCCAGACUCCUACGGGAGGCAGCAGUGAGGAAUAUUGGGCAAUGCUCGAAAGAGUGACCCAGCAACGCCGCGUGGAGGAUGAAGGUAUUCUAUAUCGUAAACUCCUGUGAGAGCAGACGAAGACAGAUUAUAAUCUGGAUGACUGUAUGCUCAGAGGAA
rnacentral:rRNA from 1 species